CCCGGCUGCUCCCGGCCCCGCCCGCUGCUCCCGGGCCCGGACCGAGGCCGGGCUCAGGUACCCCCGCGGGAAGUGCCGCUUCUGUCCUCAGUGCUGUGGGAAGAACAAGCCCGUUCCCUGCAGCGUCAGGCCAAACUGCACAGGCCGCUGCCGCUACUGAGUGCGUCUGUUCUCUACAUUCUUACAUCACUGCUGCUGGUUAGGAAGCUCUGGAAUGCCCAUGAAAAGAAGAAUCUGCACUUCCCAAGAGAAUAUGGCUGGCCGCUGCACAGUGAAACAAGUAAAAUCAAGGACUCCUGAAGCAGUGCCGUACUGAUGUAGAGUCGGACCAGAAUCAGUCUUGGAUUUGAGGCCUCCUAUGCAUUUCCCACCUAUGGAGAUGAGUAUUCCUGUAUCACCAGUUACCCAGACUUAAUCUUGUGUUGCCACAAAAAUCUGUAGUGUCCAAACCUCCUCCUUUACUAUGAAUCUCAAAUUUUUGAUGGUUCUCUUAAAUUUGUGGUUUCUGGAGUUUUGUCAUUAAAUAAGGAGCUUGGCUCUUGUUUAAAGAUGAGAAAAGUUUGUAGCCAAAGCAAUUAGAAAUUAGCUUAGAAAUAUGAACAAAAUUUGUUUCAGAUUUACCUACUUUACUUGUAAGAUUGCUUUAAAAUUAUGAUUUUAAAAAUAAAAACUCUGAAUCCAUUGGUUUAAAUCCAAUACCACAGGUUUUGUAAACCUGGAAUUUCAUUAGCUUGCCUAGCCUUUUUAGGAGAUGAAUGCAUGAAUGCAGACCUCACUGUCAUUUCCCAAAUGCUUUAACUCUCUGCUAGUAAGAUCUCCAAGGGCAUAGGUAUCUGGCAUGUUGUGUUUCUCUCAUCAAGGUAUGCCCAUCCUCUGUUGCCUGAAGGACCUGAUCUGGGAGGCAUUCUCCAAGCCAGCCUGCUAGACCUUGCAAAAAAAGUUCCCAGAGGGCAAGGCAACAGGCUUACCUUCAGAUUUCCACUAUGUCCAAGCUGGAUUUGACCUGGUGUGAAUGCCAAGUGUUUGCUGGUUGUUUGGGGAUCAAACUCCUCCAAAGUAUAUACAGGUAUUUUCACGCAUGGUGGAGCAGAUUUGACAAGUAAACAACUCUGUCUGCAACAGCAAAUAGCCUACCAAGGAGAAUCUCCUGGCAGCUGGUGGAUGGGUAUGACAUACCAUAUCCCAGAUGUAUGUUCCUAACAACCAGACUAUACAGUAAGCAAAUAGAAAGAACUUACUCUCCUGCAGGUAGCUGUUAGAAAACACAGUUUUUAGUGCCAAUCUUGUGGCUGGGAUUUCUCAGCAGAGGCACGGGAUUAAAUCAUAUUUUCUUAAGGUUUCUUACUGGCCUUCUUAGGUAGCUUCCAGUCUGUAGGCUUUGUAUAUCCCACACUUCACUGCCUCCAGGAAGCAUUUGAGGAACUUACAUCUCUGCACUGAGAAAAGAUAUCUUCAAAUUCCACAAAGCAUCACAGCAUGUAAAAAUGUGAUGAUGCAGUUUAUACUACUCAAGCCUUUUGGUGGACCCAGCCCCAUGGAAUAGUUUUAAUUCUUUAAGGAAAAUAGCAUAAGGAUUCAGCUGUCCAGAACAGAUUUUCCAAUGUGGAAAAUUUGCAGGAGGGUGUCCAAGCUCCAAGCAUGAUCAGAGCUUGAUAGUUUCUGAGUGGACCGUAAAGAAUAAGAGUUGCCUUUCAGCAUCUACCCUAUGCAGUGAGAGUGGGGAAAGGCCAUGGAUACCUCUAAAGAGCAUACUGCCAGUGAUUUUUGUUUGAUCCUUCCCCUGUCCCAAGACUGGCAGCAACCUUUACAGUCACCAAGCCUGUAUCUCACAUGGACACAGGAUGCACAGAGCAAGGAUUACUUUUGAUCAAAUUAGGGAAGGCACUUCCUACAUUCCCAAAACAGCAUAAGGGAUCUGCUUUCUUGGAGCUGCAGCCCCUGCACAGUACACCAGCUACAUGCUGAAUAGGUUGGUUUUCCAAGACCAAGAGCCUGACAAUAUUGUGUGCUUCAGCAGAGAGAUCUACAUGCCUGUUGCAUGGAAAUUCAAGGGAAAAAAUUCCUAUAGAUUUCAGUGGUUUGGGAUAUGACUGUCUCUAUUAAAAUCUUUAGUUAAAUAUACCCUUAAAUGGUAACAUGUUGGAAAUAAUUGAACAAGACAAUCCUGAGUAAUUCAUCAGUACCUCUAUUAUUCUUUCCAGAGUUCCACAUCAGCUAUUUACACAAUAUGAUUUGUUUUAAUUUUUUUAUUCAGCAUGUUUUAUGCAUUAGUAUCAGAAAAGCCUGUCUUUCUCUUGGCAAAUGUUACUGCAAGUUGUCUAACAGGGAGGUGGAUUAUGUAGAUUUAUUUAUUCAGAGUGUAAUUUGAAUAAAUAAAAAAUGGAAAUAAACCUUU